AUUGAACGCUGGCGGCAUGCUUUACACAUGCAAGUCGAACGGCAGCACGGGCUUCGGCCUGGUGGCGAGUGGCGAACGGGUGAGUAAUGCAUCGGAACGUACCGUGUAAUGGGGGAUAACGUAGCGAAAGUUACGCUAAUACCGCAUACGCCCUGAGGGGGAAAGCGGGGGAUCGUAAGACCUCGCGUUAUACGAGCGGCCGAUGUCGGAUUAGCUAGUUGGUGGGGUAAAGGCCUACCAAGGCGACGAUCCGUAGCGGGUCUGAGAGGAUGAUCCGCCACACUGGGACUGAGACACGGUCCAGACUCCUACGGGAGGCAGCAGUGGGGAAUUUUGGACAAUGGGCGCAAGCCUGAUCCAGCCAUGCCGCGUGAGUGAAGAAGGCCUCGGUUGUAAGACGUCUGUGGUAGAGGGACGGAAGUAAGUAGUUGGCGUAACAUCCAGCAUGAUGACGGUACCGUCUUUAGUCAAGCACCGGCUAACUCUGUGCCAGCACG
rnacentral:rRNA from 1 species